GACGAACGCUGGCGGCGUGCUUAACACAUGCAAGUCGAACGGAAAGGCCCUGCUUUUGUGGGGUGCUCGAGUGGCGAACGGGUGAGUAACACGUGAGUAACCUGCCCUUGACUUUGGGAUAACUUCAGGAAACUGGGGCUAAUACCGGAUAGGAGCUCCUGCUGCAUGGUGGGGGUUGGAAAGUUUCGGCGGUUGGGGAUGGACUCGCGGCUUAUCAGCUUGUUGGUGGGGUAGUGGCUUACCAAGGCUUUGACGGGUAGCCGGCCUGAGAGGGUGACCGGAAAGAUGGGAAUAAGGAUACGGCCGAGGCGGCGAGGGGAGGCGGCAGGGGAGAAUAGUGCACAACUGACGGAAGCGGAAGGCAGUAACGCCGCGAUAAGGAGGAGAACCAUCGGAUGGAGAACCACGAUCGCCUGAAACAAAAGGAGGAUUACGGGAAUGGGUAGAGAAACAAGAACGAAAUACAUG
rnacentral:rRNA from 1 species